rnacentral:sRNA from 12 species
UGGUGUUGAAGCAAUUAGUUGUUUCGGUACGCAGUUAAUUGUGGAACCUGAUCUUGGGUUAUGCGACAACCUCAAACCGAAUAGGUUCUUAUGAACCGAACGAAAACGCUUUGC